AUUGAACGCUGGCGGCAGGCCUAACACAUGCAAGUCGAACGAGAGGCGGACGGGAGAGUACUGUCUGGGCAACUGCCUGAUGGAGGGGGUUCACUACUGGAAACGGUUGCUAAUACCGCAUACCUCCAGAUGUGCCCAGGUGGGAUUAGCUUGUUGGUGGGGUAAAGGCACACCAAGACGACGAUCCGUAGUUGGUCUGAGAGGAUGAACAGUCACACUGGAACUGAGACACGGUCCAGACUCCUACGGGAGGCAGCAGUGGGGAAUAUUGCACAAUGGGCGCAAGCCUGAUGCAGCCAUGCCGCGUGUAUGAAGAAGGCCUUCGGGUUGUAAAGUACUUUCAGCGGGGAGGCGUUACCCGCAGAAGAAGCACCGGCUAACUCCGUGCCAGCAGCCGCGGUAAUUC
rnacentral:rRNA from 1 species